CCAUCCCCUACCCUCCCAGGGGCCCCAGUCCCAGUGGCUCCUGAGGAAUGGACUCUGUGGGACAGCGAGGACCAGGGGGCAAGGCCAGAGGCCCCUGCUGCCCACAGCCUGCUCAGCUUUGCAGCUGCAUCCGUGUCUGGAAAGAUAAUGCAGGACGGCAGUGCUGCUGGCCCCUGCAGACGGGCUCGGGGUUCCUGUGAAUGCGGGACAGUAGUGUGUCCGGCCCCCGCAGGCAGGCUCAGGGUUCCUGUGAAUGCGGGACAGUAGUGUGUCCGGCCCCCGCAGGCAGGCUCAGGGUUCCUGUGAAUGCGGGACAGUAGUGUGUCCAGCCCCCGCAGGCAGGCUCAGGGUUCCUGUGAAUGCGGGACAGUAGUGUGUCCGGCCCCCGCAGGCAGGCUCAGGGUUCCUGUGAAUGUGGAACGGCAGUGCGGCCGGCCCCUGCAGGCGGGCUCAGGGUUCCCGUGAAUGCGGGACAGUAGUGCGUCUGGCCCCCGCAGGCGGGCUUGGGUUCCCGUGCCAUGCUUGCCACUUGCCUGUCGUGCUCUUGGGCAGGUCACUAACCUUUCGGAAGCUUUGUUUGUUUUUCUGUGAAAAGAGAAAAGAGACUAAUGAUAGCUCCUGGGGACCAAUGUGAGGAAUCAGAGAGGAGACUUCUAAAGUACAGGGCCUUGCAGGUGAACAUGGACUAGGGGCUUUUUUUU